rnacentral:misc_RNA from 1 species
AAAAAAAAAAAGAAGAAAAAGAAAAAAACCUCCACCCUUCAGAAAAAGGGAGACAGAGAGAGAUGUAUACAAAUGUUUUAUUAUUCUUGUAGGACUAUGUCAAUGACAAUAUUGGAUGUUGAGUGAAAGAUUGGUAGUAGCCAUGGUAUUUGGUUUCUUGGAGAGUUGUUCUGAUUUUUCUUUCAACAUUUGGCAUAAGCUAAAAUGGGUUACAGAAGAGAAAUUGUUAUUUUGUUAAUUUUCACCCUUUAA